rnacentral:pre_miRNA from 1 species
AUUAUACUCCCAUCGUCCCAAAAUUCUUGUCUUAAAUUUGUCUAGAUACAGAUGUAUCUAACACUAAAACGUAACUAGAUACAUCCGUAUUUAGACAAAUUUAAGACAAGAAUUUUGGGACGGAGGGAAUAUAUG